rnacentral:tRNA from 1 species
GGAGAGGUGGCUGAGUGGUCGAAAGCGCGUCUUUGCUAAAGACGUGACCGGGUAAAACUGGUCCGCAGGUUCGAAUCCUGUCCUCUCCG